AGUCGCCGCGGUAACACGUAUGUCACAAGCGUUAUCCGGAUUUAUUGGGCGUAAAGCGCGUCUAGGUGGUUAUGUAAGUCUGAUGUGAAAAUGCAGGGCUCAACUCUGUAUUGCGUUGGAAACUGUGUAACUAGAGUACUGGAGAGGUAAGCGGAACUACAAGUGUAGAGGUGAAAUUCGUAGAUAUUUGUAGGAAUGCCGAUGGGGAAGCCAGCUUACUGGACAGAUACUGACGCUGAAGCGCGAAAGCGUGGGUAGCAAACAGGAUUAGAUACCCCAGUAGUCCCUGUCUCUUAUACAC
rnacentral:rRNA from 1 species